AGAGUUUGAUCAUGGCUCAGGAUGAACGCUUGCGACGUGGAUAAGGCAUGCAAGUCGAAUGCCACUUUUAGUGGCAUGGCGAAUGGGUUAGUAACACGUAGAUUACAUACCCUUGAGUCUCGCAUAAGCCCGUGAAAACGGGGCUAAUACGGGAUAGUCCCAGCUUGCUGGGUAAAGAUUACUUUGUUUUCGCUCAAGAAUUGGUCUGCGGCCUAUCAGUUUGUUGGUGAGGUAACGGCUCACCAAGACUAUGACCGGUAGGCGAAGUGAGAGCUUGACCGCCAACACUGGCACUGAGACACGGGCCAGACUCCUACGGGAGGCAGC
rnacentral:rRNA from 1 species